rnacentral:rRNA from 1 species
ACGUGGGUGAUCUGCCCUGCACUUUGGGAUAAGCCUGGGAAACUGGGUCUAAUACCGAAUAUGAUCAUGCUCCUCAUGGGGUGUGGUGGAAAGCUUUUGCGGUGUGGGAUGGGCCCGCGGCCUAUCAGCUUGUUGGUGGGGUAAUGGCCUACCAAGGCGACGACGGGUAGCCGGCCUGAGAGGGUGUCCGGCCACACUGGGACUGAGAUACGGCCCAGACUCCUACGGGAGGCAGCAGUGGGGAAUAUUGCACAAUGGGCGCAAGCCUGAUGCAGCGACGCCGCGUGAGGGAUGACGGCCUUCGGGUUGUAAACCUCUUUCAAUAGGGACGAAGCGCAAGUGACGGUACCUAUAGAAAAAGCACCGGCCAACUACGUGCCAGCAGCCGCGGUAAUACGUAGGGUGCGAGCGUUGUCCGGAAUUACUGGGCGUAAAGAGCUCGUAGGUGGUUUGUC